UUUAAUAGAACAGUUUUUUGUUAAACAACACCUGCAGAUAUUAGCAUUCAUUUUUAUUUAUUAUUGACAAUGCGGAUUAAUUAAUUGCAAUUCCAAACGAAUAUUAUUCAACACUAUUUACUAUAAUCGUUAUGAAUUUAGAUAGUAUGGGCAAUUAUACAUAUUUAAACGAUGUGUACUACAUAUUAAAUUCCAAUUACUUUUUUUUGUUUAUAAACAGUGCUACUUCAUGUAUGAUAGCUUGAUCUCUGCGACAUAAAAUAUUAUAAUAAAAUAUGUCAAACUGACAUUCCUAGGGUUGUAGUAGCUAUCGAAGUUCCUAGAUGCUAAUGUAACAUAUAAUUGGGUUUAAUUUAAUUACAAACCUUACUAAAUCACGACGUUCAAAACUGUUUUCUUCAUUCUCAUUGGCAUUAUGCCAUCAAGAAACUAAAAAUAAUAACAAAAGAUAACAAAACUCAACAAAUGGGGUUGGCCGGUUAAAGCUUUUCUCAGAUGUCGCCAGCGUACAGCAGCAUUAAGGCAUUAUGUAAACUACACUGAAGAAAUCAAGCAUGGCCAAUGAGCUAUAUGAAAGCCGGCAUUUACUAACGGCCAGGUCUUCUGUUGUUGGUGAUUAUACUUAUGUGAAAGGACAUUGCAGGAAAACAAUGAGGAACCUGCAGUAUGAAGUUAAUAUCAAACUUCAUAAGGAUGGGAAUCCUGUAGAAUCCCAAAUGUGAAUGUCCUGCGGGAAGUGGUGUGAAUGCCGUUUGUAAGCAUGUUGUUGUUCUCUUACUAGGAAUUGAGAAUAUGGUACAUGAAAAGUUUAUACUUCUGAAGUGUGCACACAAAAAUUACAACAAUUCCAUAUACCAAAAUAAAAUUUACACUGGUACCCAGUCCACGCAGAAAAAUGAGUAAGAAAAAGAAAGUAAUAUUUGAGCCUUAUCCUCUGAAAACUCUGAACAAAGUAAGUUAUAAUACAUUACUCAGAAAUUUAAUAAUUGGUUUUCCUAAUUCACACAUGCCUUUAAAACAACUUUAUGAACCAGCAAACCCAUGCGCACUAACUAAUGACCAUGACCACACAUCUGUUCAUCCUGAACAACAGCUAUUGAAAAAUCUAAAAUUGCUAGAAAUAACUCCAGAAGAAAUCAACGAAAUCCAAAUUUGACUAUUGAGGGCUCCCACUAGCAUGAGUACAGAAAAAAAGGGUGCGUGUACUUAUGUACGCGCGUAAGAAGUUAUACUUUAUUUUUAUUAAAUUUAUUUCUUUUUUUUAAAUUUUAAAUAAAUAAUAAUAAAUAUUUAACGUUAAUAAUUUAAUAAUAUUUAGUAUGAAUUAUAUUAAAUAAUAAUUUUGUCAUUUAUAUUACUCAAAAAUGAAUGCUAAUAACACUUUUUUUACGAGUGUACAUGCGCGAAAGUUCACCUGCGGCUAUAUUCAGACUCGCCAAGUUACGUCGGUCGUAUUGUAAUGAGAGAUUUAGUGGGCAACUUAAUUCUGUUAAUUUUGUGUCACGGUGCGCGCGCAUCGUAAAAUUUCACUCUCAUAAAAUUUUCAUAACGCGCUUAAAGAAGUAUAACUCCAAAAACCGCAUCACAGCCAGCCAUUACCACACAAUAUGCCAUUUAAGAAAUGCAACAAUGGUGAAAUACGCAAGUGAAUUGUUAAAUAAAGAACAUUUCACUUCUAGGGCAACGACUCAUGGCUUACAAAAUGAAAAAAUAUAUGAUUUGCUAUAUAUGAUAAUAUAUGAUUUGCUAGUGGAGCCAUGUGGCAUUUUCAUUAGCCAAGAGCGCCCAUAUCUUGCUGCAUCUCCUGAUGGUGUGUUGGACGAAGAAACUAUAAUUGAAGUGAAAAGUCCAUACGCUAGCAGAAAACAUGAAAUUAAUAUAACAAUGGUGCCUUACUUAGAACAAUGCAACGGGAUAUUGUCCUUAAAAAAAAAAAAAAAAACCUGCCCAUAUUAUUAUCAAAUCCAAGGGCAGUUAUACUGCUCAGGCAAAACAUACUGCAACUUGGUCAUUUACACCUACAAGGACAUCAAAGUGAUUUAUAUUGAAAAAGACAAUAAAUUUAUAAAUAAUAUGUUAAAUAAAUUAGAUAUAUUUUAUGAAAAUAUUUUCAAAGAAGCAUUGUAUGAAAAAUCUCUGUAUUAUAACUAUAGACACUUGUCGAAUUAAAAAAUCAGUAAUAUUUUUAAGCUAUUGCAUAGAUUUUAUUGCGGGCCUUGAGAGCGGAAUCGUGAAAUUCCGUAACGAAAAAACUUUUCACUCCUCACUACGCCUACUAUGUAGCUCGCGUUCAACACAUUCACACGUUGCGCUUGUGUAGUGUUUAAAGUAAGAAGUCGAAGCACCGAUUUAUGUACUACCAAAAUAUGUAAUAUAAUUUCGUAAGUAACAGAACGAUAGCGCGAUUCAGCUUUUGCGUCAAGCGCCAUCUAUCGGCGACAAACGGAAAUGUAAACGGAAUUAUAUGACAUUACAAUGCGUUGGGCGUGCCAUUUUCUAUCGCUUAGUCGAAGAAUUUUAUAACUACUCCUACUACUCAUUCAGUGAUUGGAGUGGCAUUAAAAAUAAACCAACUAAGCCGUUGAUUCGCGCGAAUGAGAGUUAGAACUAGCAUCCAAAAGCGUGUCUUUAUCCCAUGUAGCGCCCUCUAGUGAGUGCGCGGCAAAAAUGCAAUUCUCACAAUGUAGCAGAUUCAUUGAAAGUUAGCCCACUAAAUUUCUCGCCGGAUCUUAUUUUAUUGUUGUUUUAAUAUUAAAUUAUUAUUCUCGAUUUAUAAUUGCAUAAGUUGAUAAAAAAUGCUAUGCAAUAGCUUUACCGCGGCAGUCUCCGAGUGCCAUACGUCUUUUUUUUGUUUUUAUUGACAAACUCCUUCUCGAAAAUUACAUAACAUUACACAUGAGUCGACUAUUAUCAAAGCCGGCAAUGUGAUUUUUGGACAAUUAUUGGUAAAUCAGAAAAACGAAUUAUUGACUUUGUAUUCCAUUGGCAGUCACAAAACUCUUCUGAACGACAUCUUAGAUAAAUAACAGGUUAAGUCUUAACCUUUAUUUAAUGCAGGUUUUGAACCGUAUUCUUUGAAGGAGACGAUUAUAUUCAAAUCAAUCUGUAUUGACAUAUCAGUAACAUUUUUUUGUCCAAAUGCACAGAUUGCCACCUUUGAUAAUAGACGACUCACAUAUGAAAAAUAUUUUAGAUGGUAAAGGUACAUAAAAAUAAUUUAGUUCAUUUUUUAAUAUUAAAUAAGUUUUUGUUAGCCUUAUUAAUCGUUCUAUGUGAACCCUCUGACUAGCAAAUUUUUUAUCGAUCUUUAACUGAACACCUGGGAUUUGUGAUUUACCUUUUAAAAAAGAUUAGAGAAGAGAAGAAGAAGAUUAGAAGAAAGAGAGAUAGAAGACUAAUUCAAUAAUAAUAAUAAUAAUACAAAAACCAUGGGCCGAACGGUUCGAAUAAUGCCACACAAGAUUCAAGUUCAAAUAAAGCGUGAAAUCUUCCGCAUCGUAAAUGAAGCCGAGAUAAUGCUUUCAGAUGAAAAUCAUGGAAUUUUAUAGGUUCCCAUUUUCUGCAAACAUUUUUCAAAAUACAGCAACAUUGAUACCAACUUUCGCAGAAAACAGCUUAAGGACACCUCUUCAACCACGUUCCCUUGAUAAUAGACACUCUAAUCAGACAUUAUCUUUCGCACCUCAACCACUACCACCUCAUGUGGAUAAUAAUUAUUCUAAUCAGGCUUUAUAUUUUGUUCCUCAAACAACUUUAAACAGUUUCACAGAAAUUAACACAUUCAAGACAUCUCUCGCUGCAAACGAGACAGACGCUGCACCUAAAACAUUUUCAUACAUUCCAUUCAAAAUUUGCACGAAAAAGUCUACAGUCAACCUAUAUACUACAACAAAAAGCUAUGAGACAAGUUAUAUAUCUAACAGCUAUUCAUCUAUGGACCCACCAUUGCCUUACAUACCACAAUCUGUUUCCAGGCCACACUCUUCAGAUCCUGACACGAGUGAAUUCGAUUACUAGAAUCAUUAGAAUACAAGCAUUACAGAUAUGUUCUUGUUUUUAGUUUUUUUAAAUGUCACAAUAUAAAUACAUUGAAAUA